GACGAACGCUGGCGGCGUGCUUAACACAUGCAAGUCGAACGGAAAGGCCCUGCUUUUGUGGGGUGCUCGAGUGGCGAACGGGUGAGUAACACGUGAGUAACCUGCCCUUGACUUUGGGAUAACUUCAGGAAACUGGGGCUAAUACCGGAUAGGAGCUCCUGCUGCAUGGUGGGGGUUGGAAAGCUUCGGCGGGUGGGGAUAGACUCGCGGCUUAUCAGCUUGUUGGUGGGGUAGUGGCUUACCAAGGCUUUGACGGGUAGCCGGCCUGAGAGGGUGACCGGCCACAUUGGGACUGAGAUACGGCCCAGACUCCUACGGGAGGCAGCAGUGGGGAAUAUUGCACAAUGGGCGGAAGCCUGAUGCAGCAACGCCGCGUGCGGGAUGACGGCCUUCGGGUUGUAAACCGCUUUCGCCUGUGACGAAGCGUGAGUGACGGUAAUGGGUAAAGAAGCACCGGCUAACUACGUG
rnacentral:rRNA from 1 species